CCGGGAUCUAGAUGUGGAGUCGCUCGA
rnacentral:sRNA from 1 species